UGGCUUUCCGGGUAUUUCGUUUUUCAUUUUUUUUUGGGUUUUCGCGAGUCGAUUUUGCGGCAGAGAAGCUGGGGGCUCGCCAUCAUCCUACAUUUUCAGGUGACCUGAAUCAGGUAGGAUACCUCUGAAUUAAGCAUUCGAUAAGCGGAGGAAAGUAACCAACCGGGAUUACCUCAGUAACGGCGAGUGAAGCGUAACAGCUCAAAUUUGAAAUCUGGUCUUCGAGAGUCCGGGUUUGAAUUUCAGAAGAUGUUUGGAGGUAGGACGGCCUAAGUUCCUGGGAACAGGACGUCAGAGAGGGUGAGAAUCCCGUAUGUGGCCGGGUCCUACAUCCGUAGUUAAGCUUCUUUGACGAGUUGGGUAUGUUGGACAACAAGUUAAAAAGGGGGGUAAAUUUCUAUAAUAAGUUAAUUAUGGCCAGAGAACCAUAGCGCACCAAUUGAGAGAUUGGAAGGAGGAAAACCUCUGGAAAGACAGUUUAACCAUUCGUGAAAUUUGUGGAAAGGAAAGGCUUGCCAACCGGACUGGGCCUCGUCGGUUCUUCGGAGUUUUUCUCGGUGCCCUUGACCAGUCACCGGCCCGCCUUGAUUUGGAUGGUUGGAGAAAGGCCCUGGGAAAGUAGUUUCUUUGGGGAGUGUUAUAACCUAGAGCGCACAGCAGCCCAUCCCGGCCGAGGGCCCCUCCUUUGGCUAGGAUGCUGGCGUAAUGGUUGCAAGCGACCCGUCUUGAAACACGGACCAAGGAGUCUAACAUCUAUGCGAGUGUUUGGGCGUUAAACCCAUACGCGGAAUGAAAGUGAACGUAGGUGAGACCCCUUCAGGGGGCAUCAUCGACCGAUCCUGAUGUCUUCGGAUGGAUUUGAGUACGAGCAUAGCUGUUGGGACCCGAAAGAUGGUGAACUAUGCCUGAAUAGGGUGAAGCCAGAGGAAACUCUGGUGGAGGCUCGCAGCGGUUCUGACGUGCAAAUCGAUCGUCAAAUUUGGGUAUAGGGGCGAAAGACUAAUUCGAACCAUUUAGAGUUCCUCG
rnacentral:rRNA from 1 species